UCAAACUUGGUCAUUUAGAGGAAGUAAAAGUCGUAACAAGGUUUCCGUAGGUGAACCUGCGGAAGGAUCAUUACUGAGGUUUUUAGGCGCUUGCCGCCUAUCACCCGCCCUUGUGUCAUCACAAUCCAGAGGGGUAGGCCCUGUCUUCGGGCGGGCCGACCCGCUGGGCUCAACUUCGGUGGAUGGUUGGGGCUCACACCCCAGCCACCGCCGGCCAACAAACUCUUUUGUGGCAGCCUGAAGUUUAUAAAAAAUACCAAAUAAAGCAAAACUUUCAACAACGGAUCUCUUGGCUCUGGCAUCGAUGAAGAACGCAGC
rnacentral:misc_RNA from 1 species